rnacentral:tRNA from 1 species
GCCGAUGUGGUGAAAUUGGUAUACACGCUACCUUGAGGUGGUAGUGGCUUAGGCUGUGCCGGUUCGAGUCCGGCCAUCGGCACCA